rnacentral:lncRNA from 1 species
UCUGACCAAUAACAAAUUUUUCCUUUUUAGAAGCCAAUUUUACACAGCAAAACCCCCCAAAGCGAAACACCCUCUCCCUUUUUCUUUUCACCCACGCACCUCCUCCACAAUCGCCAUAACUGCCUCCGCCACCAUAGUCUCUUUUUUUUCUUUUUACCAUCUCCAUCACCUUACUCCAUCGAGGACGGCGGAGAUGAAGGCAGCGGCGCCGCCUAGGGUUUCGGCGAGAACGGCGUUGUUUAUGAUGAGGACGUCGUCGAAGUAGUUGCCGACGAUUACGCCGUGGGGGGUUGAUUUGCUACCAUUGUGAGAGGGGUUGAUGGUGGUGAAUUUUGGGGGUUUUGUGGGAGAUCAUUUGUUGUUGAUGGAGGUUGAAGAUGGUGACGCGUGGUAAGGGGAGAGAGGGUGGUGGAAGGCGGUGGUGGUGUUUGAAAGGGAAGUGGUGGUGCUGGUUGAUUUGUGUAGGCGCUGGAAGUGAAGUAACAAAAAUUCUGUGGCCAAAGUGAAAAGGCAAAGACUACACUGGCGCAAACCUACGAUAUGAAUUGAUAUAUAUAAUAAUAGGUGCCAUGAGCUAUGAAUGGUCAUUUGCGGGGUCAUUGUGUAAUGGGUCAUUUGCAGGGGCAACUGUAAUGGUUAUUGUGUAAUGGUCAUUUGCCUUUAAUUUUAACUUCUAAUUUUGACUUUUAACUGUAAUGGUCAUUGUGUAUUUGAAGGGUCCUUGUAAUUGUUAAGUGAAAUGGUCAUUUAACUUCAGUUUUGACUUCUAAUUUUGACUUUUAACUGUAAUGGUCAUUGUGUAUUUGCAGGGUCAUUGUAAUGGUUAACUGUAAUGGUCAUUGUUUUAAUGGGUCAUUGUGCGAAUGA